rnacentral:rRNA from 1 species
UUGCUUCUCUUGAGAGCGGCGGACGGGUGAGUAAUGCCUAGGAAUCUGCCUGGUAGUGGGGGAUAACGUCCGGAAACGGACGCUAAUACCGCAUACGUCCUACGGGAGAAAGCAGGGGACCUUCGGGCCUUGCGCUAUCAAAUGAGCCUAGGUCGGAUUACCUAGUUGGUGGGGUAAUGGCUCACCAAGGCGACGAUCCGUAACUGGUCUGAGAGGAUGAUCAGUCACACUGGAACUGAGACACGGUCCAGACUCCUACGGGAGGCAGCAGUGGGGAAUAUUGGACAAUGGGCGAAAGCCUGAUCCAGCCAUGCCGCGUGUGUGAAGAAGGUCUUCGGAUUGUAAAGCACUUUAAGUUGGGAGGAAGGGCAGUAAAUUAAUACUUUGCUGUUUUGACGUUACCGACAGAAUAAGCACCGGCUAACUCUGUGCCAGCAGCCGCGGUAAUACAGAGGGUGCAAGCGUUAAUCUGAAUUACUGGGCGUAAAGCGCGCGUAGUGGUUCGUUAAAUUGGAUGU